AUGGACAAAUCGCGGGGCUCUUCUUGCGAGGCGCUCUCGGGCAGCAAGCGGCGCCGUGAGGACUCCCCUGCCUCUGCGGUGGAUCUGGAGCUCGAGGCUUCGCUCCGUUCCAAGCUGGAGGCGGAGCAGGCGGCGCGCGAGCAGGUGGAUCGUGGCCGCGAGGCCUGGGCCUCGGGUCCGGAGUGGUUGCAGCGCUCGGUGAGGGAGGGUGUGCCUGGAUCUGGUCCACAGGGCUCUGGAUCUGGCCCGUCUCUUACUCCGGUGCUGGACCCGUGGGAGGCGGCGGUGGCUUCUGGUGGCGGGGUUUCUGCGUCUUCAGCCUCCCUGCCUGCUGCGGGUGUGGGGCGUGAUUCGUUUGCUCCGUCGCGUCUUCCCCAUCCUCCUCGCGUGGCUGGGGUCGAUGCUGGUGCUCGCCCGCUGUCUCGGUCCUUCGCGGGGCCGGCGCGCCGGCCGCCCGGCCCGGCCUCUGGGGCGCCCCUCUCCCGGGGAUGGGGGAUGGGAUCCUUCCUCCUCCUCCGUCGCUUCCGCAAUCCCGCCCGUCCUCUGCUUCCCAUAGCAAUCCCUCGGCGCUCACCUGCUUCGCCUGCCACAGGCCUGAAGCCUCCCGCGGUCCUCCAGUUCGGCUCGGGCCUCCACGGAUGCGCCUUUUUCGCAUUCGACGGUGACUUGCCUGUCCGGGAGGUGGCGCCUGCUUUGUCUAAUGCUGCGAUUGUCACGGUAAAGGAUCAAAAGAUUUCGCCCCAAACUCUUCUGGAAGGGCUCCACAUUUGGGAUGAGGCUGGAUGGGACUGGCAAGUAGUGCAGGUAUCUGAUUAUGAGUUCUCUGUGGUGUUUCCCUCCAAAGAAUGUUUGCGGAUGAUUGCCUCUUGCACUAGCUUCACCUUGCCCCUCAAUCAAUUGGUGGUCUCUGUCAAAGCGACGUCUUGCAAUGGUACGGCAGUUGGUCCUCUCUCCCCAGUCUGGGUUCUGAUUGAUGAUCUGCCUGCUGGCCUUCGUUCGUCUGCUUUUCUCAUGUCUUUUGGGGUUUUGAUUGGGAAGCCCAUGGAGGUGGAUGAGGAAUCUCUGAACAAGGUUGGCCCUGCUAGGAUGAAGGUUUGGUGUGUGGAUCCCGAUCGUGUGCAUGGAUUGAUUGAUGUCUUCCCUUUUCCCAAUGGUAUCAGACUUCGGGUGCGGGUGGAGGGGGCGGCUGUUUUUCAGGCUCCACCUCCCCCUCCUCCUCCUUCUAAUCCCUCGGACAAGCAUGACAAGGAGGGGGACGGAUCUUUGGCUGGCCCUAAUCAGAGCAAUGGGUCUAACCUCCGCUUCACCCAAUCUGAAUGGGAUGGUUUGGCUGAUUCUGAACGAGAGUUGUUUCACUCCCAAGCUCCUUCUGGUGUUGCUCCCCGUGAGGAUAUGGCGAUCCCGUCUGCUGCUCCGACUGUCCAUGCUGCUGGUGCUGAUCUGAUGAAGUUCCCUCCCUGCUCUGCUAGACCCGUAUCUGGUGCUUGCUCCAACCUUCCGGUUCGCCUGCUCUCCCCCACUCGCUCGGGAAUUGAAGAUCUUCCUGCCUCCCCUGCUCGCGACGUGAUGGAGUCCCAGUCCCUUCGGAAGAAGAAAUCCUCAGUGCGCAAAUUCUCGGCUAAGAGCAGGAACUCGUUGGGCUCGAAGCAAUCCAUGACGGGGGUCUGCCGGCGUCUUGAUAAGGAUAUGGGAUCUAUGUCUCGUUCGGGUCCCCCUCCGGUCUCUCCUGCUGCGUGGUCGCCUGCUAUUCGGUCUCCUGUGUCCACGGCUCGCAAAGGAAGGCGGGUGGCAAAUUCGGGUGGUUCUAUCCUGGAGCGGGCUGAGAAGCGGGCUGCGGCGAAGGAUCUCCCUCCCCCAGAUUCAAUUGGCACUUCUUACCUGCUUCGGGUCACUCUGGUGGCGGCUAAUAAUUGGGAUCUGGCGUUUCGUCGGGCCCUGUCUCCUGAAGAGUUGGAAGAUUGGCAAAGUCUCUCUGCCCUCUUCCCCGUGCUCUCGGAGUCGGCCGAUUCUGUGGUCUGGCCUCAUUCGGCCUCAGGCACUGGCGACGGGAUUGCAGGGAUCCUGUGAGUCCUUCGCCACCGGCUCGGCAUCACCGCGGUCCGCUUUGCCGGCUCGGCUGUGGGCACGGCUUUCGUUGUUUUCCAGCGUGAGUCCGAGCAGGCCGCUGCUCUGCGUGCGAGCCCGUUGGAGGUGGGCGACCACACCGUCUGGAUCCUCCCACACAACGCAGGCGAUAAUGCUUUCCGCUUUGCUUACCGCCACGUCGUCAGCCUCUCGCUCGAGAAGUUACCCCUGGAGCUGUGGAAUCGGCAGGGGGUGGCGGCGUGCGUAGCCGGGUUCGCCAGCCUCUUCCGCCUCAAGCACGCGUGCCUCCACGGCAGCGAAUUCUCCAGGUCCUCAUCAAAGUUGAGGCUCUGCAUCACAUCCCCCACCACAUCACCUUUUCACCGUGUUGACGGCAAUGGUAUCUACGCUGAUGUUACCAUCAACGAGAUUUGGGAUGUUGCUCGCUCCCUCGGUGCUCCCACGGUCACGCCGCGCCCGCCCGGUCGCCUCGAGGAGGGAGGCGCCGACGCCCCCGCUCCGCCCUCCCUUCGCCGUGGGCGUGCUCACCACGGGUCCUCCAGGGGCCGCGGGCAUGCGAGCGCUAGAGAGGGCAUGGCUGACUGCGCUUUUCGCGCUUUCCUGUUCCCAGAAAUGGCCGCUCCGACCGACUUUCUGGCCAUGCUCAAACUGGCGGCCAAGCCCAAGCUUAUCAGAGGAUCCACUUUCUCCCUGCCGUCUGAGGCUCAAAUCCUGCACGAGGAUGAGCUAAGUCUAUGUCUCCACUCCUCACUAUGGGCGGCGGAGGUGCGCACGCCGCGAGUCUCAGUCACCUUUGAUACCGAAGGCAUGUGCUUCUCCUUCAAGCUCGAGCUCAACAAUAGUCGGAUCGCCUCGGGUUCUAUCCCAGUUCGCCUACUAUCGUUCGAUGAUGGCUUCUUUCCUUGCUUCGACUACACCAAGGGGGUUCUGGCGCGGGAAAAUUCUCGCUCUCUCCUUUUCAACUUCCUGCCUAAGCUGCUGACCGGUGGGUCGUGUCCCCGCACACUUCCACUGCUCCCCUCCAUUGAAUGUAGACACCCACCCAAACCAAAUGUGCCUGUUGGGCUGCUCCCUGCGGUUGGGCCUAUGCUUGUCCUUUCCGGUGAUGGGCCCCUGUCGGAUGUCCAGUUCCCGUCCCAGCAGCACUAUCGGGCCCACCAGAUCCUUGUGGCCCGGCCUAUAUGCUCCAGGCCUUUUCAUCACAUCCCUUGGCCUGAGCCUGGGGUCCUGCCGUGUGGUCAACCAUCUCCAAUUCUCUCCACCGAUCUGCAGCACGGUGCUUGCGCCGCGCUUUCGCCCCAGGUCGCCACCGUCUUCUGCAGUUGCCGCGGGCCGCCUUGCGAGCCGAGCGCCAGAGAUCUCCUGGCCAAGCCUCUGCUCCCACUCUUCCCUGCUCCUCUCCAGGGUGCGGGGCCUGUGGUCGCAGCCGCCCCGGUCGAUCUUGACCUGAACAAGGCGGUCGAGAUCCAUCCUCUGGAAUCAGGCGACCAGGGGUGCCACGGGGAGGGUACUAAGCCUGCCUUCGAUCAGCAGGGCGCGGAGGAGGAGCUUCCGCCAGUGCUCACUGCUUCGCCCUGGUGUAGCCCGCGCAUCAGCCGCACUUACGACGGCGUGCGCCUCGGCUCUGUCGAGCGUGCGGCUAAGCGGAAGGCAGUGGCGGCUGGAUCUGACUCCAGUUCUGGGCCGUCACUGGAUCCGACUCCAGUUCUGGGCCGUCACGACGGCCUGGAAACAAAGCUGCCAUCCAUCUCCGCCUUCAAGUUACGAGCCUUCUUGCCCACAAAUCUCAAGGAGCAUGCUGUUACUCCGUCUGAUGGCGCGGCCGAAGGUAUCUUGGUUGCUUGGGACCCUGCAGUGUUUCUCAGUCAGGUGGUUGCGCUGCACAGGUUUCAUACAACUCUGAAGUUGGUUUCUACAUCAACAAACAACACGAUCUGCCUCACUGCUGUUUAUGCACCUCAUCUGCAAAAUGAGAGAUCAAGCUUCUUUGAGGCGUGGUGUCGUUCUAAGCCCAGUCUACGGAUCCUUGUGGACAAUAAUAAGCAUGUGGUGGCUUAUCUGAAUGCUGUUGAAGAGUUGAGGCCGCUCUCUCCUAUUGAAGCUGUGCUCAGGGUCUCUGCGGCUGCCAAGGCCGAGCACCUGAUCCUAUGGCAAACUGCUGCUUGGCGUCGUAGGGCCAAGUUACACUGGUGUGUGUCCGGGGACAAAAACAACCAGUUCUUUCACGCGGCGGCCAAUCACCAAGCUCGACGCAACAAGAUCAGAGUGUUGGUUCAUGAAGGAGUGGAAUUUUUUGAUACUUCGCAGAAGUUGCGUUUGGCUACAGAUUAUUUCAGGGAGAUCUUGGGACAACCUAUAGUCUCGACGGAUGCCGUUGAUGUUGCCUCUUUAUAUACUCCGCUCGACCUAUCAGAGCUAACAGCAGAUUUCUCAUGGGCUGAGAUCGUGCAAGCUAUCAACUGCUCGCCCAAUAACCGGAGUCCGGGUCCUGAUGGCUUUACUAACGAGUUCUACAAGACCUUCAAGCUGCUGAUCAAGGAUGACCUGUUAAGUUUCUUUACUGCUUUCCAUAAGAACGAAGUGAACCUCUCGGGCGUCAACUCUGCUUUCAUCACACUGCUGCCAAAGAAAGAUACACCUCUGGAGAUACGUGAUUUCAGGCCGAUCUCUCUCGUGCAUAGCUUACCUAAGUUGGCUUCGAAGGUUCUGGCUAGCCGGCUCAAAGUAAGGAUCCCUCACUUGAUCCACACGCUUCAGUCCGGUUUCCUAAGGGGCAGAUCGAUCGUUGAGAACCUUGCCUUAGCUGCAGAAAUGAUCCAGUAUGCUCAUAAAAGAAAAAUGCCAGUCAUUGAUUUGAAGCUAGAUUUUCAUAAGGCCUUUGAUAGUGUGAGUUGGUGCUGCCUUCACAAGAUACUUGAUGCCAGGGGCUUCCCACAUGUGUGGCAAAACUGGAUACAUGCCCUCUUGUCCACUGGCAGCUCUAGAGUUCUGCUAAAUGGGGAGCUGGGCCCUUCCAUCACGGCAAAGAAAGGUUUUCGACAAGGGGAUUCUCUAUCUCCCUACCUUUUCAUCCUUGUCGCUGAUGUGCUGCAGAGGAUGUGCUGCCAGAGGUUUCAGAAUGGCUGCUUAAUGCACCCGCUUGGUUCAGACAGCUUCUUCCCAGUUCUACAGUAUGCAGGUGACACGCUCAUCCUUUUUCAUGGCAGCACGCAGCAAGCUGAAGUCGUUAAGUCAGUCCUCACAACUUUCUCUGGUUUUUCUGGGCUCACUAUAAACUUUCACAAGAGCACUCUAGUGCAUGUUGCUGUGGACACAAACACUGCCUCUGCUAUUGCACAGAUUCUUGGCUGCCCGGUCUCCGCCUUUCCUUGCACGUACUUGGGUCUACCUCUAUCCCUGCACAAAAUUACUCAUGGUAAUGAAGACAAACACAUCCAUGUCUCUGGCACUGGGCAGCUCAGCACGAGACAUUACUACAGUCUGCUUACCUUCAGGGGAGUUUCCGCGACUUUCAACCCAUGGGUCUGGGAUUCGUUGGUUCCCCUUAAGCAUAGAAGUUUCCUCUGGCUUGCUUUUAAAGGACGUCUCAACACCAAGGACAACAUGGUUAAGAAGGGAUGGUCAGUCGUUGCACCUUUUGCACACUAUGAUACCUGUCCUACGGUGGAAUCUGUUGAUCAUCUGCUGCUGCGUUGUGUCCAGACUUCUGUUCUUUGGUCUAAACUGGCACUGGGCUCCUUGGCUUGCUCAACGCCUAACAUUUUAGCCUUCGUCCAACAGGCACAACACCAGCUAAGUUUCAAACGACAAUGGAACGUGGCCUUUGCAGCAUGUGCACUCACUCUAUGGCAUGCUAGAAAUGAUCGGGUUUUCAACAACAAGGUUUGGUCUCAGGCUUACCUUCAAUUCUAUGCGGCAAACAUGCUAAAUCUGUGGAGCAACAGAGCCCGUACCCAAGCUGUCAAGGAGGACAUACAAAUCUAA
rnacentral:rRNA from 1 species